rnacentral:tRNA from 1 species
CAAAAUGUAGCUUAAAAAAGCAUCUCGCUUACACCGAGAAGACGCCCGUGAAAACCAGGCCAUCUUGA